AAAACGGAGAGUUUGAUCCUGGCUCAGGAUGAACGCUGGCGGUAUGCUUAACACAUGCAAGUCGAACGGUGUCUUCGGACACAGUGGCGGACGGGUGAGUAACGCGUGAGAAUCUGGCUCUAGGUCUGGGACAACCACUGGAAACGGUGGCUAAUACCGGAUGUGCCGAGAGGUGAAAGGUUAACUGCCUAGAGAUGAGCUCGCGUCUGAUUAGCUAGUUGGAAGUGUAAUGGACUCCCAAGGCGACGAUCAGUAGCUGGUCUGAGAGGACGAUCAGCCACACUGGGACUGAGACACGG
rnacentral:rRNA from 1 species